UACGUAGGGGGCAAGCGUUGUCCGGAUUUAUUGGGCGUAAAGAGCGUGUAGGCGGUUAGGUAGGUCCGUUGUGAAAACUCGAGGCUCAACCUCGAGACGCCGAUGGAAACCAUCUAACUAGAGUCCGGAAGAGGAGAGUGGAAUUCCAGGUGUAGCGGUGAAAUGCGCAGAUAUCUGGAAGAACAUCAGUGGCGAAGGCGGCCUGCUGGGCUGUUGCUGACGCUGAGGCGCGACAGCGUGGGGAGCAAACAGG
rnacentral:rRNA from 1 species